UUAGCAUUUAGUGAUUGAAAUAUAAUUUUCAAUUAAACUUAAUAUUAAGUUAUGUCAUUUGGUACAGAUAUGGAAUCAAUAGACUAUUCUGACAUUAAUAUGCCAAUAAAACUGUAUUAUAAUAACAGUGCAGCAUUACUAUGAUAAGCUGUUGUUUGUAAUAUUUAUUAAUAUCAAAAUCAGCAUUACUCCCAUGGCUACCAACACAACAAUUAAAAAAGCUGGCAAGUAUUUAUUGAUUAAUUAAAGUGUAAUAAGCUUGAACAAUGGCAUAAUUCAUGUUUGACUGCAGCAAUGUCUAUUUAUAAAUGCCAAGUGAAGUACUGGAUCGAAAUACUGGUGUAUCCCAGAGCCACAGCAAGCCUGCACAGAGCAUUGUACGUUCAGGGUUCUAUUUUAUAUUUGAAUCUAGAACAUUUUCAAAUUGCAAAACGAACAAAAUUGAAAAGUAUAUUUCGGCUGGAGGGUUUUCCACCGGGAACUCCGGUUUCCCUCCUUUUCAUUGAGAUUUGAAAAAACAGUGUCCAUGUUUGGGGCCAAAGCAACAUACAACAGUUUUUGGAGAAUUAUUUACAACGCAUAUGCACA